rnacentral:rRNA from 1 species
UACGUAGGGGGCAAGCGUUGUCCGGAUUUAUUGGGCGUAAAGAGCUCGUAGGCGGUUCAGCAAGUCGGGUGUGAAAAAUCUGGGCUCAACCCAGUGAAGCACCCGAUACUGCUGUGACUAGAGUCCGGUAGGGGAGUGUGGAAUUCCUGGUGUAGCGGUGAAAUGCGCAGAUAUCAGGAGGAACACCAACGGCGAAGGCAGCACUCUGGGCCGGUACUGACGCUGAGGAGCGAAAGCGUGGGGAGCGAACAGG